UACGGAGGAUGCGAGCGUUAUCCGGAUUUAUUGGGUUUAAAGGGUGCGUAGGCGGGCUUUUAAGUCAGCGGUAAAAAUUCGGGGCUCAACCCCGUCCGGCCGUUGAAACUGGGGGUCUUGAGUGGGCGAGAAGUAUGCGGAAUACGUGGUGUAGCGGUGAAAUGCAUAGAUAUCACGCAGAACUCCGAUUGCGAAGGCAGCAUACCGGCGCCCUACUGACGCUGAGGCACGAAAGCGUGGGUAUCGAACAGG
rnacentral:rRNA from 1 species